rnacentral:tRNA from 1 species
GCGCCUGUAGCUCAGUGGAUAGAGCGAUUGACUCCGGAUCAAUAGGCCGCAGGUUCAACUCCUGUCAGGCGCACCA